UGCUUACAACAUAUCAUUAAUGCAUAUGAUUCCAUUAUAACUCCACAGUUAAGUACACUCGGGAUAGAGUAGUAUUCGAAUGGGUGACCACCUGGAAAGUCCUAGUGUUUUACAUGC
rnacentral:rRNA from 1 species